CUGAACCAGACCAAGUAGCGUGCAGGAUGACGGCCCUAGGGUGUGUAAACUGCUUUUAUGGUGGGGAAUAAAGUGGCGCACGUGUGCGCCAUUGCAUGUACCUCAUGAAUAAGGACCGGCUAAUUCCGUGCCAGCAGCCGCGGUAAUACGGAAGGUCCGGGCGUUAUCCGGAUUUAUUGGGUUUAAAGGGACGUGUAGGCGUGUCUGUUAAGCGUGUUGUGAAAUUUACGGUGCUCCAACAUUUAACUUGCAGUCGCGAACUGUCAGACUUGAGUACACGCAGUCGCAGGCGGAAUUCAUGGUGUAGCGGUGAAAUGCUUAGAUAUCAUGCAGGAACUCCGAUCGCGAAGGCAGCCUGCGGGAGUGUUACUGACGCUUAAGCUCGAAGGUGCGGGUAUCUAACAGGAUCAGAUACCCUGGUACUCCGCACUGUAAACGAUGGAUGCCCGCCGUCGGCGCCCUGCGCCUGCGGCCAAGCGAAAGCAUUAAGCAUCCCACCUGGGGAAUACGCCGGCAACGGUGAA
rnacentral:rRNA from 1 species